rnacentral:rRNA from 1 species
AACGAACGCUGGCGGCAGGCUUAACACAUGCAAGUCGAACGCCCCGCAAGGGGAGUGGCGCACGGGUGAGUAACGCGUGGAUAUCUGCCUUUUGGUUCGGAAUAACCCCGGGAAACUGGGGCUAAUACCGGAUGGUUCCUACGGGAUAAAGAUUUAUCGCCAAAAGAUGAGUCCGCGUACGAUUAGCUAGUUGGUGAGGUAAUGGCUCACCAAGGCGACGAUCGUUAGCUGGUCUGAGAGGACGAUCAGCCACACUGGGACUGAGACACGGCCCAGACUCCCGGGGGAGGCAGGAGGGGGGAAUAUUGGACAGGGGGGGCAACCCUGACCCACCCGUGCCGGGGGGGUGGUGAAGGCCUUUGGUUUGUAAAGCCCUUUUGGGGGGGAGGGUAGUGACGGUACCCGCAAAAAAACCCCCGGCUACCUUGGG